rnacentral:lncRNA from 1 species
AUACUUCUACAAGUUGGUAAGAAUACUCCUCCUCAGGUCCAAAAAGUGGAAUACUCUGGACCAUCACUUAGUUACUACAUCAACGAGUUCAAAACACAAGAAAUUACUCAAGCGCCCACCACAGCUACCGAGACAGAAAUAUCACCACCUGUUCAAGCUGAGAGCACCGAGACGGAAAUAUCACCACCUGUUCAAGCUGAGAGCUCCGAGAACGAUGCAUCAUUAUCUGUUCAAGCUGAGAGCUCCGAGACCAGUGCAACAUUAUCUGUUCAAGCUGAGAGCUCCGAGACUGAUGCAUCAGUAUCUGUUCAAGCUGAGAGCUCCGAGACCGGUGCAACAUUAUCUGUUCCAGCUGAGAGCUCCGAGACCGAUGCAUCAGUAUCUGUUCAACCUGAAAGCCCUCCUGCAGAAGUUUCUCAAGCUCAAGUUGAAUCUGAAAUUCAGCCAGAGACCUCAGGUUUCAAUUGGGAACAAUAUCUUAACUGAUUACUUUGUGUGGUCACUUUUGCUUUAUAAGCAUGGCAAAGUAUUUCAUUUGUGUUGAUAGUAUGAGCUUAUGUAUACAAGGUUAAUGGAU